AGGACGAACGCUGGCGGCGUGCUUAACACAUGCAAGUCGAGCGGUAAGGCCUUUCGGGGUACACGAGCGGCGAACGGGUGAGUAACACGUGGGUGAUCUGCCCUGCACUUCGGGAUAAGCCUGGGAAACUGGGUCUAAUACCGGAUAUGACCUCAGGUUGCAUGACUUGGGGUGGAAAGAUUUAUCGGUGCAGGAUGGGCCCGCGGCCUAUCGGCUUGUUGGUGGGGUAAUGGCCUACCAAGGCGACGACGGGUAGCCGACCUGAGAGGGUGACCGGCCACACUGGGACUGAGACACGGCCCAGACUCCUACGGGAGGCAGCAGUGGGGAAUAUUGCACAAUGGGCGAAAGGCCUGAUGCAGCGACGCCGCGUGAGGGAUGACGGCCUUCGGGUGUUAAACCGUCUUUCAGCAGGACGAAGCGCGAAGUGACGGUACCGUGACAGAAGAAGACACCGGACUAACUACGUGCCAGCAGACCGC
rnacentral:rRNA from 1 species